GACGAACGCUGGCGGCGUGCUUAACACAUGCAAGUCGAACGGAAAGGCCCUGCUUUUGUGGGGUGCUCGAGUGGCGAACGGGUGAGUAACACGUGAGUAACCUGCCCUUGACUUUGGGAUAACUUCAGGAAACUGGGGCUACUACCGGAUAGGAGCUCCUGCUGCAUGGUGGGGGUUGGAAAGUUUCGGCGGUUGGGGAUGGACUCGCGGCUUAUCAGCUUGUUGGUGGGGUAGUGGCUUACCAAGGCUUUGACGGGUAGCCGGCCUGAGAGGGUGACCUGCCACAUUGGGACUGAGAUACGGCCCAGACUCCUACGGGAGGCAGCAGUGGGGAAUAUUGCACAAUGGGCGGAAGCCUGAUGCAGCAACGCCGCGUGCGGGAUGACGGCCUUCGGGUUGUAAACCGCUUUCGCCUGUGACGAAGCGUGAGUGACGGUAAUGGGUAAAGAAGCACCGGCUAACUACGUG
rnacentral:rRNA from 1 species